rnacentral:rRNA from 1 species
CCUACGGGCGGCAGCAGUGAGGAAUAUUGGUCAAUGGUCGGGAGACUGAACCAGCCAAGCCGCGUGAGGGAUGAAGGUACAGAGUAUCGUAAACCUCUUUUGUCAGGGAACAAAGGCGGGGACGUGUCCCCGGAGGAGUGUACCUGAAGAAAAAGCAUCGGCUAACUCCGUGCCAGCAGCCGUGGUAAUACGGAGUAUGCGAGCGUUAUCCGGAUUCAUUGGGGUAAAGGGGUGCGCAGGCGGUCUGGUAAGUCAGCGGUCAAAGCCCGGGGCCCAACCCCGGCCCGCCGUUGAAACUGGCAGACUCGAGUUGGAGAGAGGUAUGCGGAAUGCGCGGUGUAGCAGUGAAAU